UACUCCCCAGGCGGAGUGCUUAAUGCGUUAGCUGCAGCACUAAGGGGCGGAAACCCCCUAACACUUAGCACUCAUCGUUUACGGCGUGGACUACCAGGGUAUCUAAUCCUGUUUGCUCCCCACGCUUUCGCGCCUCAGCGUCAGUUACAGACCAGAAAGCCGCCUUCGCCACUGGUGUUCCUCCACAUCUCUACGCAUUUCACCGCUACACGUGGAAUUCCGCUUUCCUCUUCUGCACUCAAGUCCCCCAGUUUCCAAUGACCCUCCACGGUUGAGCCGUGGGCUUUCACAUCAGACUUAAAGGACCGCCUGCGCGCGCUUUACGCCCAAUAAUUCCGGACAACGCUUGCCACCUACGUAUUACCGCGGCUGCUGGCACGUAGUUAGCCGUGGCUUUCUGGUUAGGUACCGUCAAGGUACCGGCAGUUACUCCGAUACUUGUUCUUCCCUAACAACAGAGCUUUACGACCCGAAGGCCUUCAUCGCUCACGCGGCGUUGCUCCAUCAGACUUUCGU
rnacentral:rRNA from 1 species